rnacentral:rRNA from 1 species
UACGUAGGGGGCUAGCGUUGUCCGGAAUCAUUGGGCGUAAAGGGCGUGUAGGCGGCCCGGUAAGUCCGCUGUGAAAGUCGGGGGCUCAACCCUCGAAUGCCGGUGGAUACUGUCGGGCUAGAGUGCGGAAGAGGCGAGUGGAAUUCCUGGUGUAGCGGUGAAAUGCGCAGAUAUCAGGAGGAACACCGAUUGCGAAGGCAGCUCGCUGGGACGUCACUGACGCUGAGACGCGAAAGCGUGGGGAGCAAACAGG